rnacentral:rRNA from 1 species
GUAGGUGGCAAGCGUUGUCCGGAAUUAUUGGGCGUAAAGCGCGCGCAGGCGGUUCUUUAAGUCUGAUGUGAAAGCCCACGGCUCAACCGUGGAGGGUCAUUGGAAACUGGAGAACUUGAGUACAGAAGAGGAAAGCGGAAUUCCACGUGUAGCGGUGAAAUGCGUAGAGAUGUGGAGGAACACCAGUGGCGAAGGCGGCUUUCUGGUCUGUAACUGACGCUGAGGCGCGAAAGCGUGGGGAGCAAACAGGAUUAGAUACCCUGGUAGUCCACGCCGUAAACGAUGAGUGCUAAGUGUUAGGGGGUUUCCGCCCCCUUAGUGCUGCAGCUAACGCAUUAAGCACUCCGCCUGGGAUACGGCCGCAAGGCUG